GCCCGGCCCGACCCUAUUGCCCCGUUCUCUCCCAGCGAGCAGGAGCGCGCAGAGGCGGCUUGGCCCAGGCUGCACCCCGACUCCGGCCCUGGACUCGCAGGUGGGGGCGCCGCCGGUGGACGUUCCAGACCGACCGUGGCUGCCCGUGAGAGGCCCCGCGAACUGCCGUCCUGAGGCCGCCGGCCCCCUGGAGGAGCCGCAUGGGCCGGCUCGGCGAGGCUGGGUUGCUGCCCCUGUGGGACCCCUGCCCAGGGUACACGAGCAGCCCUCCAGGAGCGGGGCCCUCCAGGGGACGGGGAUACCCGCGCCCUGGACUCCAGGCGCCUGGGGCUCGCAGGCAGCUGUGGGCUGGGCUGGCACACACUCCUGGGCCCUGGUGGGUGGUUGGCUGGGUCCCCUCUUAGAGGGGGGCACUGCACCACCUCCUUGGCGGUGGGGUGUGAGGACUUAACGAGGGAGCGCUGCGUGGAGCCAGGUCAGACCGGAGGUCUGGAGAGUUUCUGCAGCCUCCGGGCUGGCGUGGCUGCGUCAGCGGAACUGGAAUAAAGGGGCUUUGGGUGA